UGGAACUCCUCGCCGCCCUCGUCCAAUCCAAACCGCGGCAGAGCUGGGCACGCAGUAGCCGAGAAACGACGAUGCCACACGCCGCGCUCCUCCGCCCGCUCAUCCCGCCCCCUCUCGUCCCCGCGAGGCCGCUCGCCGCGCGAUGCCGCCACCUUCGCGGCGUCCGCGGGAGGUGCGCCCCCGGCGAGGGCGCGGGCGAGGGCGCCCCCGGCGCGGAGUGGCUGAGCUCGGCGGUCGGGGAGAAGGUGGACGAGCUGCUGCGGCGCGAGGAGAACCGGGCGCUGCUGGACGGGGUCGAGGCCGCCGAGCGCCGCGUGGAGCUCGCCCGUGCCAAGCUCGCGGACAUCGAGCGCCAGGAGGCCGCCGCCCGCCUCGCCACCGAGGAGGUCCGCCGCCUCGAGAGGCGCCGGGACGAGAUUGCAGAGUCACAGCGGGAAUUGCUACAGGCAAGAGAAAUGAUUGAUGAAGCACAGCGUACCUUGACUUCUAGCCUUGAGGAUCGAAGCUUUUGGAAUACUUCAGGUGGAGAAGAUGUCGAUAAAGAUAGUGAGAGACUUGAAUCUGUAAAAGCUGCAGCAAUUUCCUCUAUAAUCGGUGUUCUGGCUAGUUUGCCCAUAUCUUCCUAUGAAGUCCACAGUUUGCCCCAACUGUUUUUUCGAUCAUCGGUCGUUCUUAUAAGUUGUGCAUUGUUUGGAGUCACAUUCCGGUAUGCCGUUAGAAGAGAUCUGGAUAAUAUCCAGCUUAAAACCGGAGCUGCUGCCGCAUUCGCUGUUGUUAGAGGUCUUGCUUUGCUCGAAUCUGGGACGACUUUCGAGCUGAGCACUGAUGCCUUAAUGUCACUUGCUCUUGAUGGUGCAGUUAGUGUGGUUGGGAGCAUUUUUAUAUUUCUGUCUUCUGCUAUUGCACUGGACUAUUGUUUUAAGAUGAGAUUUUUGAGUCCAUUCCCUGCAAGGAAACAAUAGAUUCUGUAACUAAUCUGGAAUACAACACAUAUAUUGGUUACUACGUUGAUCAUAUGUAAUAUUGCUGAUUUCUUAGAUUCAUAAUGGUAAAUAUUUUUCCCUGUGCAACCCCCGUUUCCUCAAGUUUAUCAAAUAAUGUUUUCUUUUUAUUAGGUGGAUCUUGUCUUGUUUCCUCAAAUCGUAUAUGAAAUAGAUAAUUCAGCUCCGUUGUGUACUUGAAUUUUGCUUCCUUUGUGUGUUUGUCCUGUAUCAUUGGCUUGCCCAGAAUGCAAUUAUUUGUUUCUGUUCCUUCCAUAUCAUUGAUCUUCACCCCCCGUGGAAUAUUUGAUUUUCUCUUGAAUUAAAUGCUUCCAAUAUCUGUUUCAAGUGUUUCACAGCAUCCUUUUGUGAAAUGUUGCACAACCUGGUAUUCCAUUUCUCAGUUCAAAAAAGAAAAAGAAAAACUGGCAUGUCCAUGUAUCAAUCUUCAUCCUCGCAGUGGGAAUUCCCUACUCAUGAUCGUCCAAUGUUUUAAAAUUCUGAUGAAGAAGCAACAUUGUGUGAUAUCUUUCUUAUUAAUGCUCUCUGUACAGUACUUGUCUACUACUGUUCUUCCAUCCAUUUCUUGAUUGCUGUUGAGCAACUAGCUGCUGAACUGUGCUAAAAUUUGAUACAGUAAUAUUCUGGUAUUUCAUAAAGCGCCAAGCCAGAUGGAACUGGGGGACAUGUUACUGCAUUACAAAUAUGGGUCCGCGGGAAGUUGUCACUGUAGACAGAUGGAUGUAGAACAGGCAUUUCUGCUCUUGUGAGAUUCGGCGGUAUGUACCUGGGGCUCUCUUCAUCCAUCAAGGAUUGUGGACGCAGCCUGAAAGUUGGAACUUGCUGGCAUUGCGAAAAAGAUAUGUAGGUCUCAAUUCCAUGCUGAAUGGUCCUGGUGGUGGGGGAUUGUGCAGGGAAAGCGCCUCAUGAACCGUCAGACGGACAAGGUGUUCAGUUGGCUGAAUCGGAAGAUGCAUUCCAAUGCGGAGUACUGCACCAUUGAUGAUAAUAAGGCCAUGGAGAAGGAAGACUCUGUGCGCGCGCGCGCGAGUGUGGCUGAGCAAGACACUGAAGCCCUGCUGCUCCGUGAUGUGCUUCUUAAUGGCAUACUUGCGAUUGGCACGCUUGGCCACAACAUGAACUCCCCUGAGGCCCGCCAUGAACAAGAUGAGUUCAUCGUCAUGGAUGAAGAAAAGGUGGACCAAGAGAAGUACGAAGAGGAAAAGUGUGAGGACAAAGAAGAGGCAUUCGCUACAGCACCAAGUGCACCAGAACCUGCUAUUGAACCUGCCAGGAUGCAUUCAUCGUCGAUGAAAGAAUACAACUUCACGUGUUCUGUAAAGGAAGAAAUCCUGAUGUGUGAAGUUGAAGUGGAGGAUAUCUCUAAAAUCCAGGAACAACCACUUCUGAUGGCAGAGAAGGUUGAGAAAGUGAGAACUACACUUGCUGAUCUAUUUGCAGCCGAAACAUUCUCACCAAGUGAUACAGGGGAGAAGAGUCACCAGAAGACUGUUAUUAUUGCUGGGGCAUCCACUUCAAAACCUACAUUGUGCAUGGAAAAGACACAUAAAAAGAAGCCAAUAAAGCCAAUGCCAGAUCCUCUGAAGGCUACGAGAAAAUUAAGUCGAGUCGUGAAGAAGAUGCUGGGGAAGAAGAUCCACCCAGAGCAGCUCAAUGGACGUAGUAAUGCAGAGGAACCUCCGCUGCUUGGUGCCUAGGCUCGCGGACAAGUUUGUUUUCUCUAUCUGGAUCAUGUUACGUUCCAUUGGAUCCCUACAGUGCCCCGGAGGUCCGGAUUCCUUUGCUGGAGAGAAGCAUCCAACCACAACGUACUACGUUGGCCGACAAUGUUUCCGUGCCUCAUCAGCUGCCUGUUCGCCCGCCAGUGACGAAGAAUAGCCUGCUGCCUAAAUAUAUCUAUCUAUCUAUCUAUCUUGUCUAUUGUUUAUUACAUGUUGAUUCCCGUGUGUAAAGCUAGCCACAGUUGCGGUGUCCUGUCCUGUCCUGUAAGAUGGAUCGAUGUUCUCGUGGUACUGCAUGUCCCCGUGCGUCGGUAUCAAUAAACCCUCCGCUUUCU
rnacentral:rRNA from 1 species